rnacentral:rRNA from 1 species
GACGAACCCUUGAGGCGUGCUUAACACAUGCAAGUCGAACGGAAAGGCCCUGCUUUUGUGGGGUGCUCGAGUGGCGAACGGGUGAGUAACACGUGAGUAACCUGCCCUUGACUUUGGGAUAACUUCAGGAAACUGGGGCUAAUACCGGAUAGGAGCUCCUGCUGCAUGGUGGGGGUUGGAAAGUUUCGGCGGUUGGGGAUGGACUCGCGGCUUAUCAGCUUGUUGGUGGGGUAGUGGCUUACCAAGGCUUUGACGGGUAGCCGGCCUGAGAGGGUGACCGGCCACAUUGGGACUGAGAUACGGCCCAGACUCCUACGGGAGGCAGCAGUGGGGAAUAUUGCACAAUGGGCGGAAGCCUGAUGCAGCAACGCCGCGUGCGGGAUGACGGCCUUCGGGUUGUAAACCGCUUUCGCCUGUGACGAAGCGUGAGUGACGGUAAUGGGUAAAGAAGCACCGGCUAACUACGUGCCAGCAGCCGCGGUGAUACGUAGGGUGCGAGCGUUGUCCGGAUUUAUUGGGCGUAAAGGGCUCGUAGGUGGUUGAUCGCGUCGGAAGUGUAAUCUUGGGGCUUAACCCUGAGCGUGCUUUCGAUACGGGUUGACUUGAGGAAGGUAGGGGAGAAUGGAAUUCCUGGUGGAGCGGUGGAAUGCGCAGAUAUCAGGAGGAACACCAGUGGCGAAGGCGGUUCUCUGGGCCUUUCCUGACGCUGAGGAGCGAAAGCGUGGGGAGCGAACAGGCUUAGAUACCCUGGUAGUCCACGCUGUAAACGGUGGGUACUAGGUGUGGGGUCCAUUCCACGGGUUCCGUGCCGUAGCUAACGCUUUAAGUACCCCGCCUGGGGAGUACGGCCGCAAGGCUAAAACUCAAAGGAAUUGACGGGGCCCCGCACAAGCGGCGGAGCAUGCGGAUUAAUUCGAUGCAACGCGUAGAACCUUACCUGGGUUUGACAUGGAUCGGGAGUGCUCAGAGAUGGGUGUGCCUCUUUUGGGGUCGGUUCACAGGUGGUGCAUGGCUGUCGUCAGCUCGUGUCGUGAGAUGUUGGGUUAAGUCCCGCAACGAGCGCAACCCUUGUUCACUGUUGCCAGCACGUUAUGGUGGGGACUCAGUGGAGACCGCCGGGGUCAACUCGGAGGAAGGUGGGGAUGACGUCAAGUCAUCAUGCCCCUUAUGUCCAGGGCUUCACGCAUGCUACAAUGGCUGGUACAGAGAGUGGCGAGCCUGUGAGGGUGAGCGAAUCUCGGAAAGCCGGUCUCAGUUCGGAUUGGGGUCUGCAACUCGACCUCAUGAAGUCGGAGUCGCUAGUAAUCGCAGAUCAGCAACGCUGCGGUGAAUACGUUCCCGGGGCU